GAACGCACAUUGCGCCCCUUGGUAUUCCAUGGGGCAUGCCUGUUCGAGCGUCAUUUGUACCCUCAAGCUCUGCUUGGUGUUGGGUGUUUGUCCUCUCCUUUGCGUUUGGACUCGCCUUAAAGCAAUUGGCAGCCAGUGUUUUGGUAUUGAAGCGCAGCACAUUUUGCGAUUCUAACUAAUAAUACUUGCGUCCAUAAGCCUUUUUUAACUUUUGACCUCGGAUCAGGUAGGGAUACCCGCUGAACUUAAG
rnacentral:misc_RNA from 1 species